GAGGUCGUUCUCCAGUGGGGAAGAAGGAAUAACAAAAGGAGCAUUUUUGGAGCAUUUAUUAACAGUAUAGGCUAGGCUUUUUUUCUAUGUAUUUUAUAUGUGUCUAUUCAUUUAAUGCCCUUGAUAAUCCACUGAAAGAGGUGUCAUUAUUAUCAUCCCAUUUUACAGAAGAAGAAACUGAAACAAGAAGAUGAGCAUCUCAGCAUCUCAGAGGUGAAGAAACUGGCCUAGCCACCACGUGGUGGCACUUGCAGCCUGAGUCAGCAGAUCCCCAGGCAAAUGAAGACUCUGAGAUGAAGACAGCUGAGCGCAUGAUGGGGUAGGUCAGCCUCCCUCAUGGAAAUUCUGUGUGCCUGAGGCCCACCCUUCCAGUGCAGAUGGAGGGAUGGGAUGGAAAUGAAUCUAGGGGAACGCAUCCCAGCUGUGAUCCAGCCACCUCUGCGUUUGAAGGCUGGGGGUUAUUCCCUCCUCAUGGUUGCCACGCAUUCUUAUGUUUGCAUGUCAUGCUUGGAACUGCCGCAGCCACUUUGUGACAGCCUGAGAAUGAAUCCAGCGCUAAAAUCAGUCUAGCAAAAGGAGGAGAAACACCUGGGUCUCCAUGAUGUCACUGAGCAAGUGAAUUGACCAGCUGUGAGGUACUUCUGUGAUUCCUCCAUCUCACAGGUGAGAAAACUGUAGCUUGGAAUGGCUAAGUCAUUUGGGUGAAGUUACAUGGCCUAUUAGAUAUGUGACCAAGGUUUGGCUCUGGUUCUUGGCUUACCUCUGGCCCUGCCUGGAUUUUUAGCCCUGGAUAAUGCAUUCUCCUAGUCUGGCCCUCAGUUUUCCCAUCUGCAAAUGCAAAGUGUGGAUGGAAUGACUCAGAAUCUUCUGCUUCUGAAGUUUACUGGUUUUCACAAUGUGGGAAGUGUAGCUGACUGUUAUAGACUGAAUUCUGUCACCCAAAAUUCAUGUGGAACAUAAUCCCCUAUGAACUGUAUUUGGAGAUAGGGCCUUUAGGGAGAUAAUUAAGGUUAAAGGAGAUUAUAAGGGUGGGAAAUACAGUUGACUGUUACGGACUGAAUUCUGUUCCCUCCAAAUUCAUGUUGAACGUAAUCCCUUAUGGACUGUAUUUGGAGAUAGGGCCUUUAAGGAGAUAACUAAGGUUAAAGGAGGUUAUAAUGGUGGGGUCCUAAUCCACAGGACUGGUGUCCUUAUAAUGAAAGGAAGAGACACUGAGUUCUGUCUCCCAGCCUUGUGAGGACACGUUGAGAUGACUGCAAGCUGGGAAGAGAGCCUUCACCAGGAGCUGAAUUUGCUGGUAGUUUGAUCUUGAACCACAUUGAGAUGACUGCAAGCUGGGAAGAGAGCCUUCACCAGGAGCUGAAUUUGCUGGUACUUUGAUCUUGAACCUCCAGCCUCCAGAAUUGUGACAAAAUAAAUUUCUGUUGUUGAAGCCACUCAGUCAGAUGUUUUGUUAUGGCAGCCCAAGCUGAGCAAUAUACUG
rnacentral:lncRNA from 1 species